rnacentral:rRNA from 1 species
GUGAGCUACAAAAAGUUCACGCCGAUACCUUGUCACAAAGCCAGUAAAGACGGUACUGGCUAAGUCCCGGACUGAACGCUGAUCGGAUGAA